rnacentral:rRNA from 1 species
UGCAAUCCUAGACGUGCAAGUCGAGCGGCAGCGGGUCCUUCGGGAUGCCGGCGAGCGGCGGACGGGUGAGUAAUGCCUAGGAAUCUGCCUGAUAGUGGGGGAUAACGUUCGGAAACGGACGCUAAUACCGCAUACGUCCUACGGGAGAAAGCGGGGGAUCUUCGGACCUCGCGCUAUCAGAUGAGCCUAGGUCGGAUUAGCUAGUUGGUGAGGUAAUGGCUCACCAAGGCGACGAUCCGUAACUGGUCUGAGAGGAUGAUCAGUCACACUGGAACUGAGACACGGUCCAGACUCCUACGGGAGGCAGCAG